rnacentral:rRNA from 1 species
UCGAACGAAGAGCAAUACUUAGUGGCAGACGGGUGAGUAACAUGUAGGUAUCUUCCCUUUGGUGAGGAAUAACACGAGGAAACUUGUGCUAAUACCUCAUAAGUCUUUACGGAGAAAGCUUUAUGCGCCAAUGGAUGAGCCUGCACUUGAUUAGUUAGUUGGUAGGGUAAUGGCCUACCAAGACAUUGAUCAAUAGCUGAUUUGAGAGGAUGAUCAGCCACAUUGGGACUGAGACACGGCCCAAACUCCUACGGGAGGCAGCAGUAGGGAAUCUUGCACAAUGGGGGAAACCCUGAUGCAGCGAUGCCGCGUGAGUGAAGAAGGCCUUUGGGUUGUAAAGCUCUUUCGUCGGGGAAGAAAAUGACUGUACCCGAAUAAG